rnacentral:rRNA from 1 species
AUUUACUCUGCCCAAUGAAAAAUUAAAUGGCCGCAGUAUAUUGACUGUGCAAAGGUAGCAUAAUAAUUAGUUUUUUAAUUGAAGACUAGAAUGAAAGAGGGGAUGAAAUUUAAACUGUCUCUAAUUUAAUAAUAAAAAUUUAUUUUAAGUAAAAAGUCUUAAAUAAGUUUAAGGGACGAGAAGACCCUAUAGAAUUUUAAAAUUUUGAUUUAAAUGAAUUAAUAAGAUUUUAAGAUUUAUAAGAAUUUAAAUUUUUUUAUUGGGAGGAUAUUAAAAUUUAAUAAACUUUUAAAUUUAAAUAACAUAAAUUUAUGAAUUUAAUAAUUUUAAUAAAAAAAAUAAAUAAAAUUACCUUAGGGAUAACAGCGUAAUAAAUUUUUAAAGUUCAAAUUAAAAAAUUUGAUUGCGACCUCGAUGUUGAAUUAAAAUAAAAUUUAAGUGAAGAAGCUUAAUAUUUAA